AGCAGCCGCGGUAAUUCCAGCUCCAAUAGCGUAUAUUAAAGUUGUUGCAGUUAAAAAGCUCGUAGUUGAAUUUCGGGAUUAGCAAGUUGGUCGUGCCUUCGGUAUGCACUGGCUUUGCUGAUUCCUCCUUCUUGAAGAACUGUAAUGCUAUUAAUUUAGUGUUGCAGGGAAACAGGACUGUUACUUUGAAAAAUUAGAGUGUUUAAAGCAGGCUAACGCUUGAAUACAUUAGCAUGGAAUAAUGAAAUAGGACGUUUGAUCCUAUUUUGUUGGUUUCUAGGAUUGACGUAAUGAUUAAUAGGGAUAGUUGGGGGCAUUAGUAUUCAAUUGUCAGAGGUGAAAUUCUUGGAUUUAUUGAAGACUAACUACUGCGAAAGCAUUUGCCAAGGAUGUUUUCAUUAAUCAAGAACGAAAGUUAGGGGAUCGAAGACGAUCAGAUACCGUCGUAGUCUUAACCAUAAACUAUGCCGACUAGGGAUCGGAUGAUGUUAAUUUUUAAUGACUCAUUCGGCGCCUUAAC
rnacentral:rRNA from 1 species